GAUGAAGAACGCAGCGAAAUGCGAUACGUAAUGUGAAUUGCAGAAUUCAGUGAAUCAUCGAAUCUUUGAACGCACAUUGCGCCUGCCAGCACUCUGGCAGGCAUGCCUGUUCGAGCGUCAUUUCAACCAUCAAGCCCUAGGCUUGCGUUGGAGCCCUGCGGCUGCCGCAGGCCCCUAAAAGCAGUGGCGGGCUCGCUAUCACACCGAGUGCAGUAGAUUACUCUUCGCUCAGGGCGUGUGGCGGGUUCCAGCCGUGAAACCCCCUACUUCUCAAGUUUGACCUCGGAUCAGGUAGGAAUACCCGCUGAACUUAAGCAUAUCAAUAAGCGGAGGA
rnacentral:misc_RNA from 1 species